CCUACGGGAGGCAGCAGUGGGGGAUAUUGCACAAUGGGGGAAACCCUGAUGCAGCGACGCCGCGUGGGUGAAGAAGUAUUUCGGUAUGUAAAGCCCUAUCAGCAGGGAAGAAAGAAGACGGUACCUGACUAAGAAGCCCCGGCUAACUACGUGCCAGCAGCCGCGGUAAUACGUAGGGGGCGAGCGUUAUCCGGAUUCACUGGGUGUAAAGGGAGCGUAGACGGCCGUGCAAGCCAGGAGUGAAAGCCCGGGGCCCAACCCCGGGACUGCUCUUGGAACUGUGCGGCUGGAGUGCGGGAGGGGCAGGCGGAAUUCCUGGUGUAGCGGUGAAAUGCGUAGAUAGCAGGAGGAACACCGGCGGCGAAGGCGGCCUGCUGGACCGCGACUGACGUUGAGGCUCGAAAGCGUGGGGAGCGAACAGGAUUAGAUACCCGGGUAGUC
rnacentral:rRNA from 1 species